rnacentral:rRNA from 1 species
UUUAUGAGAGUUUGAUCCUGGCUCAGGACGAACGCUGGCGGCGUGCCUAAUACAUGCAAGUAGAACGCUGAAGUCUGGUGCUUGCACUAGACGGAUGAGUUGCGAACGGGUGAGUAACGCGUAGGUAACCUGCCUCAUAGCGGGGGAUAACUAUUGGAAACGAUAGCUAAUACCGCAUAACAGUAUUUACCGCAUGGUAGAUAUUUGAAAGGAGCAAUUGCUUCACUAUGAGAUGGACCUGCGUUGUAUUAGCUAGUUGGUGAGGUAACGGCUCACCAAGGCUUCGAUACAUAGCCGACCUGAGAGGG